AACGAACGCUGGCGGCAGGCUUAACACAUGCAAGUCGAACGGUUGUAGCAAUACAGCAGUGGCAGACGGGUGAGUAACACGUGGGAACCUUCCUAGGGGUACGGAACAACUCAGGGAAACUUGAGCUAAUACCGUAUACGUCCGUGAGGAGAAAGAUUUAUCGCCCUUAGACGGGCCCGCGUCGGAUUAGGUAGUUGGUGGGGUAACGGCCUACCAAGCCUACGAUCCGUAGCUGAUCUUAGAGGAUGAUCAGCCACACUGGGACUGAGACACGGCCCAGACUCCUACGGGAGGCAGCAGUGGGGAAUCUUGGACAAUGGGCGCAAGCCUGAUCCAGCCAUGCCGCGUGAGUGAAGAAGGUCUUCGGGUUGUAAAGCUCUUUUACCAGGGACGAUAAUGACGGUACCUGGAGAAUAAGCCCCGGCAAACUUCGUGCCAGCCGCCGCCGUAACAC
rnacentral:rRNA from 1 species